GUGGGGAAUAUUGGGCAAUGGGGGAAACCCUGACCCAGCGACGCCGCGUGAGGGAAGAAGGCCUUAGGGUCGUAAACCUCUGUUGUGUGGGAAGAAGAGCGUGACGGUACCACACGAGGAAGUCCCGGCUAACUACGUGCCAGCAGCCGCGGUAAUACGUAGGGGACGAGCGUUGUCCGGAUUUACUGGGCGUAAAGGGCGCGUAGGCGGUCAUUUAAGUCAGCUGUGAAAUGGUUUGGCUUAACCGGAUCAUGCGGUUGAAACUGGAUGACUGGAGUGCUGGAGAGGCAAGUGGAAUUCCCAGUGUAGCGGUGAAAUGCGUAGAUAUUGGGAAGAACACCGGUGGCGAAGGCGACUUUCUGGACGAUGUCUGACGCUGAGGCGCGAAAGCUAGGGGAGCGAACGGGAUUAGAAACCCUGGUAGUCC
rnacentral:rRNA from 1 species